rnacentral:lncRNA from 1 species
AAAUGUCCGAUUACCGCGCCCUCCUCUCCUUCAAAUCCUCCAUAUCCUCCGACCCAAACUCCGUUCUCUCCUCCUGGACCCCCACCACCAGCCACUGCACCUGGACCGGCGUUACGUGCGACUCCCGCCGUCACGUGACCUCCCUCGACCUCUCCAGCAGUGACCUGGUCGGCACUCUCUCCUCUGACAUAGCCCACCUCCGCUUCCUCUCCAACCUCACCCUCGCCGACAACCAGUUCUCGGGUCCCAUCCCGUCCGAGAUCUCGGCCCUCUCUGGGCUCCGCCUCCUCAACCUCUCCAACAACAUCUUCAACACCACCUUCCCUCCUCAGCUCUCCAACCUCACCCGCCUCGCCGUCCUCGACCUCUACAACAAUAACUUGACCGGCGACCUCCCCGUGUCCGUCACCCACAUGACCAGCCUCCGUCAUUUGCACUUGGGCGGCAACUUCUUCUCGGGUCGGAUUCCGCCUGAGUUCGGCCGCUUCCCGCUUCUCGAGUACUUGGCCAU